rnacentral:piRNA from 1 species
UACUUGUACGUAUGUGAUUUUAGGGCUGAU